AAAUUACUCAAACUCUUGAUUGUUCGGUGACUUGGAAAUUAAAGAACCUACGCUCUCUGAAGGAGUAGAAGUAUGCCUACUGAUCGAGGCUGAAGCAUGACCACGGCAGACUUGAUUCAAACAGGUUUCAGUUCCAAGUAUUGCAGGAAGCGCUCGGGCGAUCCCAUGGCAUUGGUUCACGAUACCUCCCAGUCCUAAUUUCCUACCACUACCAUAAUCC
rnacentral:lncRNA from 1 species